rnacentral:rRNA from 1 species
UACGAAGGGGGCUAGCGUUGCUCGGAAUGACUGGGCGUAAAGGGCGCGUAGGCGGUUUGUACAGUCAGGUGUGAAAUUCCCGGGCUCAACCUGGGGGCUGCACUUGAUACGUAGGAACUGGAGUGGGGAAGAGGGUCGUGGAAUUCCCAGUGUAGAGGUGAAAUUCGUAGAUAUUGGGAAGAACACCGGUGGCGAAGGCGGCGACCUGGUCCUUGACUGACGCUGAGGCGCGAAGGCGUGGGGAGCAAACAGG